rnacentral:rRNA from 1 species
UGGGGAAUAUUGCGCAAUGGGCGAAAGCCUGACGCAGCAACGCCGUGUGAGGGAUGAAGGCUUUCGGGUCGUAAACCUCUGUCGGAAGGGAAGAACGGGCAUUGGUCUAAUAGGCCUUUGUUUUGACGGUACCUUUAGAGGAAGCACCGGCUAACUCCGUGCCAGCAGCCGCGGUAAUACGGAGGGUGCAAGCGUUAUUCGGAAUUACUGGGCGUAAAGCGCACGUAGGCGGCCUUGUAAGUCAGGGGUGAAAUCCCACGGCUCAACCGUGGAACUGCCUUUGAAACUGCAGGGCUUGAAUCCUGGAGAGGGUGGCGGAAUUCCUGGUGUAGGAGUGAAAUCCGUAGAUAUCAGGAGGAACACCGGUGGCGAAGGCGGCCACCUGGACAGGCAUUGACGCUGAGGUGCGAAAGUGUGGGGAGCAAACAGGAUUAGAUACCCGCGUAGUCC